rnacentral:misc_RNA from 1 species
UAGAGUUGCAAAACUCCCUUUACACCAUUGUGGACGAGCUUGAUAGGUGCUCUGUCAGGCCGAAGGUUUUAGGCCCUUAGAACGGCCUGCCGUACGUCUGUCAGAGUGUCCUGAAACUCUUAUAUUGUUGGCAUCUUCUGAGGAACUUAUUUAAUAAGUCA